CCUACGGGAGGCAGCAGUGGGGGAUAUUGGACAAUGGGGGGAACCCUGAUCCAGCGACGCCGCGUGAGUGAAGAAGUAUUUCGGUAUGUAAAGCUCUGUCAGCAGGGAAGAAAGAAAUGACGGUACCUGACCAAGAAGCCCCGGCUAACUACGUGCCAGCAGCCGCGGUAAUACGUAGGGGGCAAGCGUUAUCCGGAAUUACUGGGUGUAAAGGGAGCGUAGACGGUUAAGUAAGUCUGGAGUGAAAGGCCGGGGCCCAACCCCGGGACUGCUCUGGAAACUAUUUAACUUGAGUGCAGGAGAGGUAAGCGGAAUGCCUAGUGUAGCGGUGAAAUGCGUAGAGAUUAGGAGGAACACCAGUGGCGAAGGCGGCUUACUGGACUGUAACUGACGUUGAGGCUCGAAAGCGUGGGGAGCAAACAGGAUUAGAUACCCUGGUAGUC
rnacentral:rRNA from 1 species